rnacentral:rRNA from 1 species
CGAUGAUGCCCAGCUUGCUGGGCGGAUUAGUGGCGAACGGGUGAGUAAUACGUGAGUAACCUGCCCUUGACUCUGGGAUAAGCCUGGGAAACUGGGUCUAAUACUGGAUACUACCUCUUACCGCAUGGUGGGUGGUGGAAAGGGUUUUACUGGUUUUGGAUGGGCUCACGGCCUAUCAGCUUGUUGGUGGGGUAAUGGCUCACCAAGGCGACGACGGGUAGCCGGCCUGAGAGGGUGACCGGCCACACUGGGACUGAGACACGGCCCAGACUCCUACGGGAGGCAGCAGUGGGGAAUAUUGCACAAUGGGCGGAAGCCUGAUGCAGCGACGCCGCGUGAGGGAUGACGGCCUUCGGGUUGUAAACCUCUUUCAGUAGGGAAGAAGCGAGAGUGACGGUACCUGCAGAAGAAGCGCCGGCUAACUACGUGCCAGCAGCCGCGGUAAUACGUAGGGCGCAAGCGUUGUCCGGAAUUAUUGGGCGUAAAGAGCUCGUAGGCGGUUUGUCGCGUCUGCUGUGAAAGCCCGGGGCUCAACCCCGGGUCUGCAGUGGGUACGGGCAGACUAGAGUGCAGUAGGGGAGACUGGAAUUCCUGGUGUAGCGGUGAAAUGCGCAGAUAUCAGGAGGAACACCGAUGGCGAAGGCAGGUCUCUGGGCUGUUACUGACGCUGAGGAGCGAAAGCAUGGGGAGCGAACAGGAUUAGAUACCCUGGUAGUCCAUGCCGUAAACGUUGGGCACUAGGUGUGGGGGACAUUCCACGUUUUCCGCGCCGUAGCUAACGCAUUAAGUGCCCCGCCUGGGGAGUACGGCCGCAAGGCUAAAACUCAAAGGAAUUGACGGGGGCCCGCACAAGCGGCGGAGCAUGCGGAUUAAUUCGAUGCAACGCGAAGAACCUUACCAAGGCUUGACAUUCACCGGACCGCCCCAGAGAUGGGGUUUCCCUUCGGGGCUGGUGGACAGGUGGUGCAUGGUU